UAGGGAAUCUUCCGCAAUGGGCGAAAGCCUGACGGAGCAACGCCGCGUGAGUGAUGAAGGUCUUCGGAUCGUAAAACUCUGUUAUUAGGGAAGAACAAAUGUGUAAGUAACUAUGCACGUCUUGACGGUACCUAAUCAGAAAGCCACGGCUAACUACGUGCCAGCAGCCGCGGUAAUACGUAGGUGGCAAGCGUUAUCCGGAAUUAUUGGGCGUAACGCGCGCGUAGGCGGUUUUUUAAGUCUGAUGUGAAAGCCCACGGCUCAACCGUGGAGGGUCAUUGGAAACUGGAAAACUUGAGUGCAGAAGAGGAAAGUGGAAUUCCAUGUGUAGCGGUGAAAUGCGCAGAGAUAUGGAGGAACACCAGUGGCGAAGGCGACUUUCUGGUCUGUAACUAACGCUGAUGUGCGAAAGCGUGGGGAUCAAACAGG
rnacentral:rRNA from 1 species